rnacentral:rRNA from 1 species
AGUGUAGGCGGUCUGCCAAGUCGAUUGUGAAAUCUCCCGGCUCAACCGGGAGGGUGCGGUCGAAACUGACAGACUAGAGUUCGGGAGAGGAGAGUGGAAUUCCUGGUGUAGCGGUGAAAUGCGUAGAUAUCAGGAGGAACACCGGUGGUGAAGACGGCUCUCUGGACCGAUACUGACGCUGAGACUCGAAAGCGUGGGGAGCAAACA